GGGCGCUUUGGUCAGGUGAGACCACUCACAGUAAGUGCAGAGGGUGGGCCCCUUGGAGCCGAGGCAUGGGCGGUGGGGCGGGCUCCUGCCCCUCUCUCGUCCUCCGCUCCGCCCCUGUCCUGAGGCCCGGCCCUCCACCAGCACUUCCCCUACCACGCAACGUGUGUGGAUUCAACUUGGAGAUGAGAGAGGCCCAGAGAAUUGGAAGUAAAAUCUGCCCCUUCCCCUUGAAAGCCGUCCUACCCUGGAUAAUAAGAAUGCUCUUUUGGUUUCGUCUAGGGGACAAAGAAAAAGGCAGGUGCUUCCCCUUCCCUGGGUGGGCACCUGUGGCUUCACACAUCACAUUUGAGCACAUCAGAGACACUUCUGGCAGCUGCUCCUCUGGGGCCCCAGGAGACAGCAGCAAGGCCAUUUACGCAGCUUAGCAGAAGCAAAGGGCUUGGCGGAGGGUUUUCCCUCUGUAGAGAUUUGGGCAGGAAGAGAGCAGUGGACACUCCCUUUCCUGACAGGGUUUGCUGUGUGCUGCUUUCGCUGAUUAAGAAGUUCCUGGGCAGGGACUGAACCAUACCCCAGGAGCAACCCGAGCCACAGCAGCGACAGUGCUGGAUCAUCAACCUGCUGAGCUACCAGGGAACUCCUGGAGAUGGCAAGUGAGUUGUUGCAUGAUUCUUGGAGGUGUUAUCACCUACCCACCUAGGAUGAGUUAGCCAAAGGUAAGUCAUUUUUGUGACCUCUGCUUGAGGGGUCACCAAAAGCAAGGAAAGGGUAGGGAAAUAGUGGGAUGUGUGUGCACAUGCGUGGCUGUGUGUCAGUGGAUGCUGGUGCAGAAAACAAGGGGCCGUGUGGCAGGGGCCAGAUCAGGAAGGGGUUUGUGAAUUAGGCUGGAUUCUGAGCAUUACGCUAAAGAGAACACCAAAGGCUGUAAGCAGGGGACUGAAACUAUGAGAUUCUGUUACAGCACUUUGGUAGCAGGCUGGAACGUGGAAGGGGGCUAAGGAUGGGUAUCUAGUUAGAUACUUGUUGUAUUGUUUCAGGAAAAGAUUUAUGUGCCUGAAAAGGGAGCUGGAGAGAAGUGAGAAUAUAAUAUUAUUUAGUAGGUGAAUCGCCAGGAAGCCAUGUGUGGGAUGAUGGAGACGGCAAUCCCACUUGGGUGGUUGGCUUAACCCCUAAGCGAGGUAAGACAAUCAGAAGGAACAGGAUGAGUUUGGACUUGUUGCAUCUGAGUGGGUAUCUGGGUGGGAAUUUUUCAUAAGUCAAAAAGUCUGGGCUAGAGAUAUAAAUGCAUGGAGGUAAAUAGGUGAUGGCUGAGGCCAUGUGACUUGCUGAAGUCAGCCAAGAUAAAGAUGGAGCUGGGUAAGACAUGACAACAUGUAGAAGCUAAGUGUGUGAAGAAGAGCCCCAGAAAGAGAAAGCCCCCAAGACACUACCUCAUAAAAGAUGAAGUAGUUUCAAGGAAUGAACUAUGCACAGUGGCAAACACGGGUGAGAUCCUCCGGUAAGGUAAGAACCCAACAUAUUCAUCUGACAAUUAAGGGGCCUGUUUUGUUUAAUAAGGGCUGGGAACCAGAUGGGAGAUGAACUGGAAGUGAGUCAGGAAAUGUGAAGAGCGUUCAGAGUCUGGAUAUGAAUGGGAGAAGGGAGACCAGAGCUGCUGUUAUUAAGGGAGAUACUUUUUUUUAAGGGUGGGAGACACAGGAACAUGCUUGUUUAUUGGCUGAGGAGGAAGGUACAGAAAGGGAGAGAUUGAAAAGAAGAGUUGUUUUUUUUCCCAGGCUCAGAAAGCAAUCUGGUAGAAAUCUUCAGGCUACCCAAGAAAACCUAAUGAGAAGGAAACUUGUAUCCAGUCCAUCAGGAGGGCUCCCAAGCACAACAGCGGAUCCAUCUUCGUAAAAACUAAAGAACGUCUUCCCUAGUUUAAGUCAAAGAAGUUAACAGUUCAGUAGGCAAUUCCAGAAUUAAAAAAAAAGGGUGUGUGUGUGUGUGUCAGGAUAACUGAAUUUUUUAAUCGUAUUUUGUUGCCAACCUAAGAAAGAUGCUUCUUUUCUUGGGGAUGAGCAUAAAUCAAUGUAAACUAAAACUGCGGGUUUUUUUUUUUUUUUUCAGAGAUCAUGUUACAAACUGGUAGAAAAGUCAGUUGGCAGCUUGCUCUACUCACCCAGAGAACAGCAUGAUCCCUGAAAAGUGGUAAAAGCCUCAGGUCUCUUGUGAAUUAGACCAGUUAAGUCUCCAAGAGUCCUAUGUGCCAGUAAGCUGAGGGGUUGGUCAGCCCAUGUGCCAGCAGGCAGGCAAGACUCUCAUUAUUAAGGACCCAUUUUCAUGUUAAAGAAUGUUUUGGUGAAGUUGCUCAUUUCAAUGAUUCUAAAAUUCUAUUUAAGAACAUAUUACUCUCUGCUGGAGUAACUUAAGUAAGUUUUAAUAGCAUGAAGAACUGUCAACCAAAUAGAGUCCCUGGGGGAAAAGAUAAUAAUUGGAGAAGCUUUUUGAAUAAUAAUUUAAGAUGAGGUGGGAAGAGCCUGAAAACCUGAGGAACAGGUAACUGUUUAAUUAGCACAGAAUGCUUUGGCUGAUUUCUUUAAAAAAGUGUAAAUUGUAAAACAUUCAAAACGAAACAAAAAUUCAAAAACAUGUAAAGGCUUGAAUGCUUGGGCCUCUGUCGGCGAAAGGGAUGUUUGUAGCAAACUGAUACAACCAGUAAAAUUUUAAUCUAGAUUAUUCCUUCAUUCCAUCCAUUCAUUAAGUCAAUAAAUACUGCUUGAGCACCUGGUAAAGGACAUCAAGCCUCUGGCAGUGCACAGAGCACUUUUUAAUCGUUUUGUUGCUUAUCCCUGCAGGCUCGACCUUUCCAAGAGGCAGCGCUCCUCUUCUUGCAGGCCUGCCUGGCUCAGCAUCUUCACUGCCUGAUCCCUUUCAGGCUCACACCCCUCUUUGCUGCUGCCUUCUGGGGACCUCCUGGUCCCUUCCCUUCAUUCACUGAGCAUUUUGGCACCUUAGUUUUCCUCUCCACUUACAAUUCUGGAUGAUUUUAACGUCCACCCGCCCAGCCCACUUGUCUCUUUUGAGUUUUCUUGACCUUGUUUUGUCUCCAGCAGUCUUUUUACUUCAUUUAGUCACUGCAAGUUCAUGCCUUGGAAAGUAUUACACCACGAACCUGCUCCUCUCAGAUCAUGAAUCCAAGCGUCCUGGUCUCGGGCUAGUGUUAGGUUGUCCAAACCUGCUUGUUCAACAACUCCCAAUGAAUCCGAGCUGUCAUCACACUUCCAUCGAGCUCUCUCCUGUCUUCCCAACAUGUGGUGCUGCCUUCAUGUCCUUACUUACUCAGUUUAGAUAGAGCAGGACCAUUUUUCAACAGCUCAAUUUCAGGAAUUGUUCAGUUAUCAUCCUUUGUUCUAACAGACGUCUCUGGCAAAAUCCCAAGUAUCUCCCUUUUCUGUGUCUGUACCCAGGCAGCAGGGUGUUACUAGGGAGGGGAACAAAAUGAAAACCACACGAGACAAAUUUUCACAAUAAAUCCUCAAUCACCAAAUAGCUGGGUUCUUCACACUGUUCUGCAGUCCCACACAGAACACUGGUCACUUUACUCUCCACAAUAACUAUUUUAAAACCUCCGUUUUCAAUACUCCUUCCUGGUCUCAAAUUUCACGGAGAAAACCAAAGCCUGCCUAGCUUCUAAGCUUUUAUUUAUUUUUCUUGUCUUUUUAGAGCCGCACCCACAGCACAUUGAGGUUCCCAGGCUAGGGGCAGAAGCGGAGCUGUAGCUGCUGGCCCACGCCACAGCCAUGGCAACGUGGGAUCCGAGCCAUGUCUGCUAAGCCUUUCUGUUAGAAUAAAAACACCCCCUCCCAUCUAAAACCCUGUCCUUCCACUAGUGCUUUGUACCCAUCCUCCUCCUUCCUUGGAAGCUGACACCAUACCCAUCCCUUGGCCUCUCUGGUCUUGAACUUCCCCCUUUCUGGGUCCUCAGAAAGAAAGCUGUAACUACAAAGGGAAAGGGAGACACCCUUGGAACGUUCUCUCCUCAACCCCUCCAGAUGGGGAGUUGUGUAGGUAGCUUCCUACUGACAUCCACCUCCUCGUCCACCUGGAAGGGAUGUCUCCAUCCAAUCCAUGCUUUUACGGCCCUCACUCUGCGUGGCCUUUCAGCAGUAUUCAACACCUGUGCAGAAGAACACCCUUCCCUGGGCUUUCAGGAUUUUCUGCCUCCCGUUUUUCCUUUCUUUAGCUACUGCUUUCAGUCUCCUCUGUCUGCUUAUAUGAUGCCACUUAACUUUUGAGAGUGUCCAUGGUUUGGCUCUGGCUUCUCUUUUCAUCAGAAGUUGGCACCUUUUUUUUCCUCUAAAGAGCCAUACAGUAAGUUAUUCUAGGCUUUGCAGACUACAAGGUCUGUCACAACUAUUCUACCACUGUAGCAUGACAGCAGCCAUGGACAGUUAUUAAACUGACCGGCAUGGCUCUGUUCCAAUAGAACUUUAUUUCCAAAAACAGGAAAUACUGUAGACUCUCCACAGAGAAGUAGCCUCCCUUGUGUCUCUCCUGACCAUCUCUAUAUAAUCACAUUCAUACUCAGCUCUCACCAGCUACCUAAAAUCCACAUUUAAAUGUUUCGAAGGCAUCUCAUCUUAUCCGAGGGAUUGUGAUCUGAUCUCCCUAGAGUGUCCUCUCUAAAUAAGAGGCACUGACAUUCAUAUCAUGCACAAGGCAGGAAAUGAGAGUCAUCCUUGAUGUUUCUCCCUCUCGUUCUAUUUCUUUGAACUGGAAGAAUACCUAGAAAAGGUCACUCUGGAAAUGCCAUUAUUUGAAGCACACAGUCAAGUUUCACAGUUCACUAAGAGAGCUAAACUUUAUUUCCGUGUUUAUUACAUGUUUAUCUUUGAUGCUGAAUACAUAUUAGAAUUGAUUUAACAUACAUCUUGGGAGAAAAGCUGACAUUCUCCACUGAAUGGGUUAAAAAGGAAUGUAAAACUACAAAAUACUUGUUAAGUUUGAAUUCUGAAUUAUGGCAAACAAAACAAUUACCUUGCCAUUUUUCUCUUUCUAGUUUCCCAAGAUGGAUUUCAUUAUAAAAUACUUUUCAUAACAAUUUAUUUCAAAAGGGAAAUAAGGGAUAUCAUUAAAACCAUUUUAAGUAUAGAGUAUAAAUAAAGAGCCUUAACACACAACUCCUCUCUUCUAUUUAAAAUACAAAUAGUUCAUGAUAGUAUGAGUUGAGAGGGACUAAAUAAUGUCAACUGCAAAGCUAAUGACUUAAGCAAACCCAUACAUGUCAUUUGCUUGUCUGGAAGAGUUAGGCUGAUUUAAGGUGACACAGCAGAUUUCUAUGUGACAUCUGUGUUAACCAGUUGCUACUCGGAAUGGGAAUGGCCAAAUACUAAAUGUUUGAUGGAAAUUUAGGAUUAAUCAGUUCCAAAGGGCUAGAAGCUAACAGAAUUAAUCAUUCCAUCCCCCCGAUCUGUGGCCAUAUACUAAUGUACAGAUUUUAGCAUUCACUAAAAGUUUUAAAAUAAAACUCCUGUAGAUACUCUGAAACUGCUGAAAUUCAUGCAGUACAAAGAAUAUUACCUGUAGUAUAAUUCCAAUGUUUAAACAAAAUGAAUAUUAUAGGUAGUUAUCAAAAUUGUUACUCUAAGUUUCUUUUGUUUCUCUAGCAGCCCCUUAGCACAUUUUGUGAAGAAAGGUGUGGUCUCAUACUGCUACUCUUUACUGGGACCCAUUUAAAAAAGAAAUAAGCUUAAAAUUAUUUUCUACCAUGGGUUACAGGAUGAAAACUCUUACUCAAAAGUGUGAAGGAUGCCUACUGUUCUCAUUAAACAAGUACUUAGAAUCAUCUUCAAACACCUGUAUGCUUAUAAAUGAGGUUUACUAGCAAUAACUCACCUCUAAUUAGAUUACUCUAGUGAUAAAUACUUUUUGAUAUUACUGUUUAGGAUAGAUGAUUUGUGGCUUUUCAAUUUUUAAAAUUUUACUUUUAACGUCAUGUUGUUAUAACUUUUCUAAAUAGUCUUCCAAUAUCAGAUUCUUAAGUGAGAAAAGACAAGAGAUAAAAAGUCCGCAUUAAGGUAUACUCCUUGUCUAACAACAGGGGACAACACACUUUUCUGUAAAGGGCCAGAAAAUAAACAGUUCAGGCUUUGUGGGCCACAGCAUCACUACUGCAAUGACUCAGUUUCUGCUGCUGUUGUGAGAAAGCAGUCCUAGACAAAGUGUGUUUACAAAAAAAGAGUAGUCUAAAUUUGGCCUUUGGGCGAUAGCUGGCCAAUCCCUGCCUUAGAAGAACAGACUGAAAUAUAAAGGAAUAAUCUUAAAAACCCCUUGGCCUCUAGUCAGAAGUGGUGAUGACAGACUUAGAGCAUACAGUUCAAUUGCAACAGGACAUGUUGAUAUUGAACACUUGGAAUUUAGCCAACUUUCUAUUGCUGGUUAAGAUUCUUCUAUUCAAACUCAUGUCACCAUGCUUUUCAUUAGGGAAAAUUUAUCUUCAUUUAAGAACUUCCUUGAGUAUUAUUUAUUGAAGGAGUCAAUUUAAAAAAUGAUAUCCAUAAAAUUUAAUAUCCACUUUAAUUUUUGAAAAACUUAAUGAAAAAUAUAACAGAAUCAAAACAUUUAAAAUAAGUACACUCACUACCCAUUCCAGGAAUUCAUUUAAGUCAUAUCAACUAUAGAAUAGGAAAAAUAAAUUCAGAAGUGUAGUUACUUUAAAAUACACUACUUCCAUUUCUGUCAAUAUUUUACAUUUUAUGUAUAUAUUCUAUAGUGUAAGCAGAAAUUCUCUCUAAAAAUCUCCUUAAAAUCUUGAGGUGCAUAUUAGAGCCACAGGCAAUAUCUGACAUAUAAAAUCAUAGUACAGGCCUUUCAAAUUUGGCAUUUCACUGGUACAAUACAAUGACCAACAUGUAAAAUCACUGUACAGUGCCUAGACAUUCCAGUAAGAACCGUUACUUUCUUUAAGGUAGAAUGAUUCAUACAUAUUCUACAAGGGGCAGUGAGGUUUCGUAAUUUCUAUUGGGUAUGUCCUGACAUAAAUUUCAAAUUGUACAAUAACACAAACAACUUUGUUAAGGCCAUGUUUUAUUUGCUGAUUAAUGGACAAAAGGCAAUGUAAUUAUUUUCAAGUAUUUUCUUGAAAGUCUGUGCUCAUAAAAAUCAUGAAAAGUUGGAAAGACUGUUAAAUCACUGAAACUUUAAAUAUAUCUUACACAAUCUUGUUUGUACAAAAAUACAAGUUAAAUAUAAACAUAAAGCAAUCAUGAUAAUUUUAUGCAAAUCUGUUUUAUGUGAUCUUGAGUUAUAUAUAUAAAAGUUUCUUGGUUCUGUUUGUGAAAAGAUCAAUACCAGAUUGAAUUACUAUCUAUUGGCAAAGGGCCCUAAAAAGCUUACUUUAGCAAUUACCUUUUACAUGGUUAAGUGCAUUUCCUAAUUUGAGAUCACCUAAACACUGGCCCCAAACAAACAAACAAAAAACAAACAAAAAAAUGAAAGGGUAGUAUGUCCAUAAACCAACAAAUAAUUUGGCUGUAAUGUGUCAUAAAACACAAAGAAACCCCACACAUCUGUACAAUAAACAUUAUGCAUUACAUACUCACACACACAGGUGUAUACGUGCAUGCAUGCACGUAAACACACACCCAAGCACACGCAGGUACACACACACACACACAUCCAGUCAUAAAACAAAGCCUAAUGAGGUGCUGCUUCCAGUUCAAUAUUCAGCUGUGCGUUUUUUCUUACUUCAUCAAAUGAAUAGCUUUUUGUCACCUUUCCAUUCUUGAAGACAGUAUGGAGAAGAUCCUGCACAAAUAUUAAAAUUUAAUGAUUAAACCAGACUAUCAAGUGAAAUUCUUAAGUAAUGCUCUGAUGAAUUACACUGAUAGGUCAAAUACACAGAGAUGUUCAUAGUGUUCAAAUUAUGAAACGAUUUCAUACACAAAUAACGCUGGUGGAGCAGGCAGAGGAGCAAGGCAUGAUCUAAAAUGGGAUGUAGAGAUAUUUAACUUCUCAUGAAAAGGAAUUAUCUAAAUACUACUUUUUUUUUUUUUUUGGUCUUUUUAGGGCUGCACCAGCAGAACAUGGAAGUUCCCAGGCUAGGAGCCAGAGCCAGAGCCACAGCCACGGCAGAUCCAAGCCGCAUCUGUGACCUAUGCUGCAGCUUGCUGCAAACACCAGAUCCUUAACCCACUAAGUCAGGUUAGGCAUUGAACCCUUAUCCUCAAGGAUACUAGUUAGGUUCUUAACCCACUGAGCCACAAUGGGAACUCCUAAGUAUUACAUUCUUAAAAAAAUUUCCUUAAAGAAAAAACCAACAAAGCUAGUUGACUCAUGUCUUUUUUUUUUCCCCAGGUAGAAGAUGCUUACUGCUUGGUUGUCCUCAAGAACCAUAGCUGUUGCUGAGAAUCAUGACUAACAGAUCAGCAAGGAAAGCCUCCCAGACCUUCCCUUGUUCCUGUCCAACAGAUUCAACUGCAAUUAAACCUGCCAAUGUGCAAUUUAAUAAACCUGCUAAUCACAACAAGGUCUGGUCUUCAGCAGGCAAAGCCAAUCCUAAAAAUAAGUAACCAAUCCCAAAAUAGAAACAUAUGUAGAUACUGAUUUCUUGACUAGUGCACAGUCACUGAUUUAAAGACUGUGUAUAUGUAACACUGAUACAUGUAACAUUUGAUCUGUACAGGGUUACAAAGAUAAAUUAAGAGAAUUAAGACUAAAUUCCCUUUUGGGUCUGGUAAAGCCAUUUCUGUUUCACUAAGGAAUUAUCUGCCUCUAGUUUCUCUGGAAAAAUCCAUGGAAGUAAUCUGUUAUGUGUUUUCCAUCUCAUCUGAAGGUGAGGAGCACAUAGCAUUAUCUAAAAUUUUUGUCAUUAUGUUGUUUCUUUUCCUAUAUUCUGUUUUUUUUAAAAAUGAAGUAUAGUUGAUUUAUAUUAUCAGUUUCAGGUGGAGAACAGAGUGAUUGAAUAUUUUAUAGAUUAUAGUCAACUUAAAGUUAUUAAAAGAUACUGGCUAUAUUCCAUGUGCCAUACAAUAUAUCUUUAUAGCUUAUUGUAUACAUAGUAGCUUGUACUUCUUAAUCCCCUACUUCUAUAUUGUUCCUCCUCCCUUCCCUCUUUCUCCCCACUGGUAACCACUAAUUUGUUCUCUGCUUAUGGUUUGUUAUAUUCAUAUUUUUUACUUUUUAUAUUCCACAUACAGAUAAUAUGUAUGUCUUUCUUUGUCUGACUUAUUUCACAUAGCAUAAUACCCUCUCCCAUGUCUAUCCAUGAUGUUGCAAAUGGUAAAAUUUUGUUCUUUUUAUGGCGGAGUAGUAUUCCAUUGUGUAUAUAUACCACACCUUCUUUAUCCAAUCAUCUGCUGAUGGACACUUAGCUUGCUUCUAUAUCUUGCUAUUGUAAAUCAUGCCAAUAUAACAUUGGGUGCAUACAGGUUUCAUAUUAGUGUUUUCCUUUUUUUUGGAUAAAUACACAGGACCGGAUCAUGUGGUAGUUCUAUUUUUAGUGGUCUUUCUGAUGACAGCUAUUCAGACAGGUGUGAGGUGAUAUCUCAUGCUGUAGAUGCUGGCCUAUGCCAGAGCCACAGCAACGCAGGAUCCGAGCCGCGUCUGCAACUUACACUACAGCUCACGGCAACACAGGAUCCUUAACCCACUGAGCAAGGCCAGGGAUUGAACCCACAGCCUCAUGGUUCCCAGUUGGAUUCAUUAACCACUGCACCACGCCAUUAGCUGUUUACCUGACCAUAUGUGUGGGUUUAUUUCUGUUCCAAUGACCUACGUGUCUGUUUUUGUGCCAGUACCAUACUCCUGAUGAUUGUAGCUAUUUAGUACAGUCUGAAGUCAGGGAAUGUGUUACCUCCUGCCCUGUUGGUCUUAAGAUUGUUUUGGCUGUUUGUGGCCUUUUGUGUUUCCAUACAAAUUUUAAAAUUAUUUGUUCUAGGACAUUCUCGUUGCGGCUCAGUGGGUUAAGAACCCAACAUGGUGUCCACGAGGAUGUGGGUUUGAUUCCUGCCCCCCACUAGUGGGUUAAGGAUCUGGCCUUGCCACAAGCUGUGGCAGAGGUUGCAGAUGCGACCUGUAUCUGGUAUGGCUGUAGCACUGUCCUGCAGCUGCAGCUCCAAUACAGCCUAUAGCCUGGGAACUUCCACAUGUCACAGGUGUGGUCAUAAAAAAAAAAAAUUAUUUGUUCUGGUUCUGUGAAAAAUACCAUUGGUAUUUUGAUACCAAUGGGAUUGCAAUAAAUUUGUACAUUGCCUUGGGAAAUAGUCACUUAACAUUAAUUCUUCCAAUCCAGGAACACAGUAUAUCUUUCCAUCUGUUUGUGUCAUCUUCAAUUUCUUUCAUUAGUGUCUUAAGAGUCUUCUGAGUAUAGAUCUUUUAUCUCCUUAACUAGAUUUAUCCCUAAGUAUUUUGCUCUUUUUAAUAUGAUUGUAAAUGGGAUUGUUUGCUUCAUUUCUCUUUGAUAGUUUAUUAUUUAGUGUAUAGAAAUGCAGCUGAUUUCUGUAUAAUAAUUUUAUAUGCUGCAACUUGACCAAGUUCACUGAUGAGCUCUAGUUUUUUGGUGGUGACAUUAGGAUUUUCUACGGGAUAAUACCAUGCCAUUUGCAAGCACUUUCAAUUUUCUUCCUUUCCAACUUGAAUUCCUUUUAUCUCUUUGUCACGUCUGACUGCUGUGACUAAGACUGCCAAUACUAUGUUGAAUAAAAGUGGUCAGGAUGUGUUGUUUCCUUGUCUUGUUUCUGAUCUUAGAGGAAAUGUUUUCAGCACUGAGUAUGAUGUUAGCUAUAGGCUUACCAUCUAAGGCUAUUUUUUAUAUUGAAGUAUGUCACCUCUCUACCCACUCUGUUGAGAGCUUUUAUCAUGAAUGGAUGUCGUAUUUUGUCAAGUUUUUUUUUUCCUGCAUCUAUUGAGAUAAUCAUGAUUUUUAUUCUUUAUCUUGUUAAUUGGUAGAUCACAAUGAUAUGUGGAUACUGAACCAUCCUUGCAUCCUCGGGAUACAUGCCACUUGGCCCUGCUGUAUAAUCCCUUUAAUGCAUUGUUGGGUUUGCUUUGCUAUUAUUUUGUUGAGGAUUUUUUUUUUUUGCAUCUGUGAUUAUUGGUGAUGUUGGCCUGUAACGUUCUCUUUUCUGAGAUGUUUUUUUUUUUUUUUUUUGUUAUCAGGAUGAUUCUAUUCUUGUAGAAUUCGAUGGGGUAUGUUCCUUCCUUUGCAAUUUCUGGAACAGUCUGUGAAGAAACAGGUGUAAGCACUUGCAUGUUUGCAGAAUUCACCUGUGAAGCCAUUUGGAUGGUCCUGGCCUUUUUUGUUUGUUUGAAGUAUUUUAAUUACUGAUUCAGUUUAAUCACUGGUAAUUGGUCUGUUCAUAUUUUUCUUCCUCAUUUGACCUUGGGAGAUUGUACACUUCUAGGAAUUUGUCCAUUUCUUCUGGAUUAUGUAUUAUAUUGACAUAGGGUUGUUCACAGUAAUCACUAAUGUCCUAUGCAGUUCUGUGGAGCUGGUUGUAACUUCCCCUUUUCCAUUUCUGAUUAUAUUGAUUUGGGCCCCCCCCCUUUUUUUAAAUCAAUUUUGCUUAUCUUUUCAUAGAGCCAGCUCUUAGUUUCAUUCAUCUUUUCUCCUUUUUUUGGGUCUCAUUUUGAUCUGAUUUCUUCUAUUAACUGGGUUUUGUCUGGUUUUCUUUUUCUAGUUACUUUAGGUUUAACAUUGGGUUGCUUGAGAAUUUUCUUUUGUUUCCUGAGGUAGUCUUGUGCUAUAAAGUUCUCUCUUAGAACUGCUUUUUUGUGUACCACAGACAGGAUUGUUCUGUUUCAAUUUUCAUUUGCCUCAAGGUUAUUUCUUAAUCUCAUCUUUAACUUCUUUGGUGAUCCACUGGUUGUUCUGUAGCAUAUUAUUUAGCCUCCACGUAUUUGUGAGCUUUGCAGUUGAUUUCUAAUCUCAUAGGGUUGUGGUUAAGAAGUUUAUGAUGAUGAUUUUGAUUUUCUUAAAUUUACUGAGCCUUUGUGAACCUAGCAUGCGAACUAUCCUGGAGAAUUUUCCAUAGGUACUCUUGAAAAGAAGGUAUAUUCUGCUGCUUUUGGAUGGAAUGUUUUAUAUAGCUGCUUUAUAGCUAUUAAGUCCAUUUGGUCUAAUGUGUUAUUUAAUGUGUUUCAUUUUUUUUUGUUUGGAUGAUCUGUCCAGAGUGUUUCUGUACUCUUCUAAGAGUUUUAUAGUAUUUUGUCUUAGUUACAUUUAGGCUCCUUACGGUUUCUUUUUGUUUUGUGUAUCCCUGAGCUGCUUGUUGUGGAUAUAAGGGGUUUUACUUCUAAUCUUUAAACUUCCUAACAACUUAGUAUGUGCUUGAUUUACUACCUUUACUGAUUAGAUUUUUCCUAUCAUAAUUACAUUAUGGUAUCUUUCUCCCCUGUUUAGAUUACUCCUAUUAACAUUUCUUGUAAAGCUGGUUUGGCUAUGCUUAACUCUUAGCUUUUGCGUGCCUGUAAACUUCUGAUCUCAUCAAAUAUCAAGGAAAGCCUUGUCAGGUAAGAGUAUUCUUGGUAGUUAAGUUUUACCCUUUCAUAACUUUAAAUACAUCAUACCAUCCCUCUAGCCAGCAGCAUUUCUGCUGAAAAGUCAGAGUAUAGCUUUAUGGGAGUUUCCUUGUACAUAACUUGUUGCCUUUCCCUUGCUGCUUUUAAUAUUCUCUUUAAUGCUUGCAUUUUAAAUACACUGGGUUUUGGUGUUGUCCUCUCUGUGUUGGUAUUUUGGGGGCGCUCUGUGAUUCUUAAACCUGGAUGUGUGUUCUUUCCUAAGUUAGGGAGUUUUUAGCUAUGUCUUAAAAUGUAUUCUCUACCCCCUUCUUUUUUUACUUCUGGGACUACUAUAAUGCAAAUGUUAGUGUACUUGACCUAUUAAAGGUGGCUUAAACUGUUCUAUUUUUAUUUUCUAUUCUUUUCAGCUCCAGUGCUUUCCCUUACUCUGUCUUCCAGUUCACUGAUCCAUUCCUCUGAAUCAUUUAAUCUGUUGAUUCUUUCUGGUGUAUUUUUAAUUUCAUUUAUUCUUAACCUCUGGUUCUGCCAACUUCUAACUUCUCACUGUUUAGUCAUUCUUCUCUUGAGUUCUCUGAUCAUCUUCAAGACCGCUACUUGGAACUCUUUAUCUGGUGGACUGCCUAUCUCUACUUUACUUAGUUCUUUUGAGCUUUUUAUCUUGUUCCUUUGUUUUGAACAUGUUCCUUAUUUUUCUGAAUUUUCUAUCUUUAUUUCUAUGUAUCUGGUAGGUUGGUUACAUUUUCCUGACCUUAGUGGCCUUUUGUAGACGUUUUAUGUGUCCCAGCAGUGAUCACCUCUGGUCACCACUAUAUGCUCUAGGGAUCCUCCUAUAUAGGUUACGUGGGUCCUUCCUAUUGUGGCAGGCUGACUAUUGUGGGCAGUCUGGUAGAUCUGACUGGCUCCCCCUCUGGUUGGUUGCCAGGCCUUUCCUUGUGCGUAGGCUUCCCACCACUGGCACGGCUGGGUAACAAAGCUGCUGGUUGUGGGUAGGGGUGGGAGGGUCCGCGUGUUAGUGCCAGCCCACUGAGGUCUCUAGUUGUGGACCUAGGUGUCCCAUAGCUAGUGUUGGAUUGCUGGUAGUUAGGGCCAGUUCCUAACACAGAUGGCUGCGGGUUCCAGGAAGUCCUGAAGCUUGUGUUGGCUGGUUAGUGAGAGGGGUUAGUUCCAAAGCCACUAGUAGGUCGGACUUAGGCUCCUUUCAAAGUGCUGGUUCUUCUCUGGGUCCUGUGGCAGGUAUUGUGUGUGCUCUUUAAGUGGAGUCUCCAUUUCCCGCAGUUCUCUGAAUCUGCUGAAAAUUAAGUCCUGUUGGCCUUCAAAGCCAAACAUUCUGGGGGCUCAACUUCCUGGCAGAAGACCCCAGGGCUGGAAAGCUCGAAGUGAAGCUCGAUUCCUCAUUUCUUUGAGAGAACUUCUGAAACUGUAAUUAUUCUCUUGUGAGUUGCCCACUUAGGGUUAUGGGGCUUGACUUUACUCUGCUAUCCUAAAUCUACCCAUCUCAUUGCCAUUCCUUUGUCAUAUCUUUAGUUUUAGAUCUUUUCUGGAAGAUUCCAGUCUUUCUCAUCAACAUGGGUUCUGUAAACAGUUAUAAAUCUUGGUGCUCCCAUGAAGAAGAGGUGAGCUCAGGGUUUUCCUACUCCACCAUCUUUUUUUUCUGGUCAUUUUUUUUUUUGCUAUUUCUUGGGCCGCUCCCGUGCCAUAUGGAGGUUCCCAGGCUAGGGGUUGAAUCAGAGCUGUAGCCACUGGCCUAUGCCAGAGCAACAGCAACGCGGGAUCCGAGCCGCGUCUGCGACCUACACCACAGCUCACGGCAACGCUGGCUCGUUAACCCACUGAGCAAGGGCAGGGACCGAACCGCAACCUCAUGGUCCCUAGUCGGAUUCGUUAACCACUGCACCACGACGGGAACUCCCCUACUCCACCAUCUUGAAACAAUCUUUUCUGUCACUGUUGUUUCAAAUCACAGGGCUCUCACUGUGGCAUUUUCUUUCUGAGUUUAAAUUCUUUAUGAAAAUUUAUUGAGGAACAGUGGUUCCUAUUAAGUCAAAAUGUCUAGAUGCUCAUAAAAUGAUUACUGAUUCAAAUGUUCUAGAGUAUCAUUCACAUAUUCUUAAAAUCAGUGCCUUUUUUUAGACAUAGUAUGACUGUCUAAAGUAACUUCAGUUCAUCUGGGAUAAACAAAUUCAGCAUAGUCUUGGUAGUCCAAGAGUUAAGAGAAGGCUACUCAAACAACUGUGUAACAGGUUAUCUAAUGGAAUCUACUUCUAGAAUUUAUUUAUCAAUUUAUAUAUAUUUUUCAUUAAAGAUGCAAAAAUCUUAUUGUAUUA